rnacentral:lncRNA from 1 species
ACACUGACUGGACUUGCCCAGGUGCGACCGGCUGAGAUGAGGAGCUGGGCCCAAGGAAGCCUGGAGGUCUCGCUGAGACCAGGAGCAGAAGCCCACAACCAGGCCCCCGACUCCAGCUCAGUGCAGUAGCAGGGGACAGGCCCUGGCACAGGGAGCAUCAGGCCUGAGGCCCAGGAGCCCAGCUUCCCCAUGGGGCUGGACUCAGAGGGAAACCAAGGCAGAAGGAGAGGACCUCAGUGAGAGCCAUGGGCCUGGCUCAGUCUGGGUUGAGGACACACUGUGGACACAGCCCUGACUCCCUGCCCCUCCGUCACUCUCAAAUGUGGAGGAAUCAUGACAAGGUGAGACGGCCAGGCCUUCAGGUGACCGCUCUGCUUAAGACAAUGAGGAGCAGCCCAGCCUCCCCGCCUAGACCUGGGAGUGAGGUUUGUGAGGAAAGGGGCCAGGGCUUGCUCUGCUAAGUGCGCCAACACCACCAGCGGCUCAAAGAAGGUGCUAAGGUUCCCAGACAAGGAC